AUAAAUUAAUAAAAAGUUAAUCCAAUAAAUAGGCAUAUCGAACAAACGAUAGCUAUUAUUGACUGUUUGUCCAUUUUUCGCUUCAAAAACCGCUGAAAUUUCCAAAAUUUAGUUUUUACCCACUGUAAAAACAGAUUAUAUUUCUGAAAAUAAAAAAAAAAAAACAUAGCAAUCAAUAAUUGACAAAUAAAUAAAAAAUAUUAUUAAAAAAAAUAAAUAUAAAAAUUCAAUAUUAUAUUUACCGAAAAAUGGACCCUCCUGCGAAUCCUGACCACCCUCGUCCUGGUCACUAUGAGAUUUUGCUGCGGGAAAUAUAUUAUUCCUAAGUUCGGCUUGAAAAAAAAGAAAAAAUAAGAAAAUAUGUACAUAUAUCAAGAUUUUCAAGAAAUAAAAUUCAAGAAAUAUAAAAAUAGGGGCUUACCAGGACAUGUGGCCCAUCCCCGAUUAUUUCGAUGGGCUGCAGUGGUAUCGGCAUGCUUACCAGAUUAUUGGGCCUCCCAAACCAGGUCCUUGGAUUGGACCACUCCCUGCCGCGGAACUGAAUUAAAAAUAAAAUAUAAUUCAAAACUAUUGUUUCAACAAUAGAUAUAAUUAAACUUACAUGUCUUAUAAAAGCUCGAUCCAUUAAAUUUUCCAUUAUUUUAUUUCGA